UCAGCCGCCGCGGUAAUACGUAGGUGGCAAGCGUUGUCCGGAAUUAUUGGGCGUAAAGCGCGCGCAGGCGGGAUAACAAGUCUAUCUUAAAAGUUCGGGGCUCAACCCCGUGAUGGGAUGGAAACUGUUAUUCUUGAGUGUCGGAGAGGAAAGUGGAAUUCCCAGUGUAGCGGUGAAAUGCGUAGAUAUUGGGAGGAACACCAGUGGCGAAGGCGACUUUCUGGACGAUGUCUGACGCUGAGGCGCGAAAGCCAGGGAAGUGAACGGGAUUAGAUACCCCGGUAAUCCUGGCCGUAAACGAUGGGUACUAGGUGUAGAGGGUAUCGACCCCUUCUGUGCCGGAGUUAACGCAAUAAGUACCCCGCCUGGGGAGUACGGCCGCAAGGUUGAAACUUAAAGGAAUUGGCGGGGGAC
rnacentral:rRNA from 1 species